UGAGGAAUAUUGCACAAUGGGCGCAAGCCUGAUGCAGCAACGCCGCGUGCGGGACGAAGGCCUUCGGGUCGUAAACCGCUUUUCUGGGGAAAGAGCAAGGACGGUACCUCAGGAAUAAGUCUCGGCUAACUACGUGCCAGCAGCCGCAGUAAAACGUAGGAGGCGAGCGUUAUCCGGAUUUACUGGGCGUAAAGCGCACGCAGGCGGCUCUGUGAGUCGGACGUGAAAGCUCCCGGCUUAACCGGGAGAGGCCGUUCGAUACUGCGGGGCUUGAGGUAGGGAGAGGAAUGCGGAAUUCCCGGUGUAGUGGUGGAAUGCGUAGAUAUCGGGGGGAACACCUGUGGCGAAAGCGGCAUUCUGGCCCUCAUCUGACGCUGAGGUGCGAAAGCGUGGGUAGCAAACAG
rnacentral:rRNA from 1 species